rnacentral:rRNA from 1 species
GGGCAAAACGCUGGCGGCGUGCCUACUACAUGAAGUCGAGCGGACAGAUGGGAGCUUGCUCCCUGAUGUUAGCGGCGGACGGGUGAGUAACACGUGGGUAACCUGCCUGUAAGACUGGGAUAACUCCGGGAAACCGGGGCUAAUACCGGAUGGUUGUCUGAACCGCAUGGUUCAGACAUAAAAGGUGGCUUCGGCUACCACUUACAGAUGGACCCGCGGCGCAUUAGCUAGUUGGUGAGGUAACGGCUCACCAAGGCGACGAUGCGUAGCCGACCUGAGAGGGUGAUCGGCCACACUGGGACUGAGACACGGCCCAGACUCCUACGGGAGGCAGCAGUAGGGAAUCUUCCGCAAUGGACGAAAGUCUGACGGAGCAACGCCGCGUGAGUGAUGAAGGUUUUCGGAUCGUAAAGCUCUGUUGUUAGGGAAGAACAAGUGCCGUUCAAAUAGGGCGGCACCUUGACGGUACCUAACCAGAAAGCCACGGCUAACUACGUGCCAGCAGCCGCGGUAAUACGUAGG